rnacentral:rRNA from 1 species
UACGUAGGGGGCAAGCGUUGUCCGGAUUUAUUGGGCGUAAGGAGCUCGUAGGCGGCUCGGUAAGUCGGAUGUGAAACCUCCAGGCUCAACCUGGAGACGCCAUCUGAUACUGCCGUGGCUUGAGUCCGGUAGAGGAGCAGGGAAUUCCUGGUGUAGCGGUGAAAUGCGUAGAUAUCGAGAGGAACACCUGCGGCGAAGGCGGGUAGCUGGGCCGACACUGACGCUGAUGCGCGAAAGCUAGGGGAGCAAACGGG